AAUUCCCACUCGGGUACUAACCGAGACCAAUG
rnacentral:tRNA from 1 species